UGGGGAAUUUUGGACAAUGGGGGGAACCCUGAUCCAGCCAUGCCGCGUGUCUGAAGAAGGCCUUCGGGUUGUAAAGGACUUUUGUUGGGGAGGAAAGCCUGAUUGUUAAUAGCGAUUGGGGCUGACAGUACCUAAAGAAUAAGCACCGGCUAACUACGUGCCAGCAGCCGCGGUAAUACGUAGGGUGCGAGCGUUAAUCGGAAUUACUGGGCGUAAAGGGUGCGCAGGCGGAUCGUUAAGUCUGAUGUGAAAUCCCUGGGCUUAACCUGGGAAUGGCAUUGGAAACUGGCGAUCUAGAGUAAGAGAGAGGGAGGUAGAAUUCCACGUGUAGCAGUGAAAUGCGUAGAGAUGUGGAGGAAUACCGAUGGCGAAGGCAGCCUUCUGGCUCAUUACUGACGCU
rnacentral:rRNA from 1 species